AUGGGAUUUGAUGAAUAUCUGAUAGCUGCGGCUGAAGGAAAGGUUGCCUGGGGCUCCUGGUUUGACGAUGUUCUCUCUUGGGAGAAACUAAUGAAUGAGUCUGACCAACCAGUGUUGAUAGUCAGAUACGAGGAGACUAAACAGGAUCCUGUCCGUGUGAUC